rnacentral:rRNA from 1 species
UACAGAGGGUGCGAGCGUUAAUCGGAUUUACUGGGCGUAAAGGGCGUGCAGGCGGUUUGUUAAGUGCAGGGUGAAAGCUCCCGGCUCAACUGGGAGAGGUCCUUGCAUACUGGCAAACUCGAGGGAGGCAGAGGAAAGUGGAAUUCCCGGUGUAGUGGUGAUAUGCGUAGAUAUCGGGAGGAACACCUGUGGCGAAGGCGGCUUUCUGGGCCUUACCUGACGCUGAGACGCGAAAGCGUGGGGAGCGAACCGG